UAACAAACAUACAUGAAUGAUUUACUUGGUGUUUUUCUCCCUACAGUCCAAAAUGCAGCACGCUGGCUAAUAUUGGAAGAACCAACAUCUAUAAGAAUAAAAAAGAUUAUUAUGAUAUGUAUGAGCCAGAAGGAGUGAAAAUUUUCAGAUGUCCAUCUCCUAUCUACUUUGCAAACAUUGGUUUCUUUAGGCAGAAACUUAUCGAUGCUGUAAGGUUUGGGGUUAUUUAAUUUUUUUCCUUGUAAUCUUACUGAAUUCUGGGAAUGUCAUUGUUCUGUAAGGUCAUUGUUGAGGCUGGGUUGUGUCACAUAUGUUGAGGUGGGGUUGUGUCACAUAUGUUGAGGUGGGGUUGUGUCAGUAUUUUUUGUCCCACGUCCCAGAGCAGAUGAAACUACCUUAUGGGGAGUUUGUUAAUAGGUUGGGAAAUAAGCCUCUUCAGAUGACAUCUAAUAUAGAAGAAUCCUUUUCUCAAAUUCUGAUGUAGAAUAAAAGAAAUUUACCAAGUUUUGGGCUGCUAGCUUUUAGUAGGUGUCAUCCUACAGAUUUUCUUUGGGCAUCAACUUCAGAAACAAUGAAGGAGCAUUUAAUAUUUGACCGCAUCCUCAAAGAGAUUCAGUAUAACAGUUGUAAAUGAAUAGUUAAUACUGAAUAACUAUAAAUACUGAGUGUCC
rnacentral:sRNA from 1 species